rnacentral:lncRNA from 1 species
AAAUUUUAUUUUGGCCAGGAGCUGAAGUUGGUUGUUUAGUAGUAGUAGUUUGAGUAGUGACCGAAGUAGUAGUCUGGUGUGUGGGUGCAAGAGUAGUUGGGGAAGAAUUAGGUGUGGUAAUUGGGGCAGCUGUGGUCUCUUGUGGAGCUGGGGAAGACGGUGGAGCUGGUGUAGUUGCAGAAGGUGUGGGUGGGGCAGCUGUGGUCUCUGGUGGAGCUGAGGAAGAUGGUGGAGCUUGUGUAGUUGCAGAAGGUGUGGGUGGGGCAGCUGUGGUGUCUUGUGGAGCUGGGGAAUUCACUGGUGCUAAUGUAGCUACAGAAGAGCUUGUGUUAACAUUUUCUCUUGAAGAUAUGGUGGUGGCAUUCUGGGGAAGAAAAGUCACAUUUGGAAGGGUAGUAAUUUUGGUGGAAGCUUAGGCCUACAGCGUUUGUGCAGACAUUUAUAGGACUUUCUAAUGAACGGCUUCUGGUGAGCUAGCA